rnacentral:rRNA from 1 species
CCUGGUGAAAUUAGCGCUGUGGAACCACCCGAUCCCAUCCCGAACUCGGAAGUGAAACGCAGCUGCGCCGAUGGUAGUGUGGCUCAAGCCAUGCGAGAGUAGGUCAUCGCCA